rnacentral:lncRNA from 1 species
GGGCAAAAGCUGACUUGGCAGAAGCUGUCUGAUACUGUGGGUCAUCCUGACCUUGAGACUGCGCAAUGUGCCCUGGCAGAUUCAGAGUGUGUCCUGCUAGAACCCAUGUGCUGGACUCACAUUUCCAAGUGUGCAUGCAGCAUGCAUUCAUUACUGCAUCUGAUGGAAGCACAAAGGGAGAGACAAAGAUGCAGAGAACAAUGCUCAGAAUGGCUGUAUUGCACACAAUCCUCUUUUGAGGACCCAUUCCUGAAAGAAAGCAGGCCAUGCUGGUCUCAGUAUUUGCAUGGAAGGAUAUCUGCCAGUGAAUGAGUCUGUUGAAAUCACCACACCAAAUUCAACAUUAAGGGCCAACCCUGACCACAGCUGAGUCGUGUGAAGAGGCUGACAGCAGAGUGGCCACCACCCAGGAUGGAGAGAAAGGCACCAUGAGGUGUUAAUGGAAAAAUCCAACUUCCUUUUCUGCCAAAGAUGAUGACUGAAACCAAAGUGGAGCUUUCCCUUGUAAAGUGAAAGCAAAGUUUUAAAAUUUUUUCUCCUCUGCAAGAAAAUAUAUUUCAGAAGAUCCCUAUCUCAAAAAUGAAGCAAUUAAGAACUGUCUGGCUGUGAGGAUCUGGCCUCAACUUGACUUAAAGCAACAACUUCAGUUACGUAUCAAGAUGUGCAUGAGAAUGAACCUGCUCUGCUCAGCCAACGUGCUGAGUGACUUGAUGUUUGUAAUAAAUAAAUAAAUAAAUAAAUAAACAACAAACAGGUUGUCAUGAAA